rnacentral:rRNA from 1 species
GUGGGGAAUUUUGGACAAUGGGCGCAAGCCUGAUGCAGCCAUGCCGCGUGUGUGAAGAAGGCCUUCGGGUUGUAAAGCACUUUCAGCGGGGAGGAAGGCGAUAAGGUUAAUAACCUUGUCGAUUGACGUUACCCGCAGAAGAAGCACCGGCUAACUCCGUGCCAGCAGCCGCGGUAAUACGGAGGGUGCAAGCGUUAAUCGGAAUUACUGGGCGUAAAGCGCACGCAGGCGGUCUGUCAAGUCGGAUGUGAAAUCCCCGGGCUCAACCUGGGAACUGCAUUCGAAACUGGCAGGCUAGAGUCUUGUAGAGGGGGGUAGAAUUCCAGGUGUAGCGGUGAAAUGCGUAGAGAUCUGGAGGAAUACCGGUGGCGAAGGCGGCCCCCUGGACAAAGACUGACGCUCAGGUGCGAAAGCGUGGGGAGCAAACAGGAUUAGAUACCCUAGUAGUCC